UUGAAUCGCGGUGCGACGAAGGAGUAGGUGGUGGGAUCUCACCGUGUGUCCGAUUAGCCUUUUCUCUGCCUUGCUUGCUUGAGCUUCAGCAGAAUUCGAAAUGGCUUGCGGUAAGGCUGGAAAGGACUCCGGAAAGGCCAAGACAAAGGCGGUUUCCCGCUCGCAGAGAGCCGGCUUGCAGUUCCCAGUGGGCCGUAUUCAUCGACACCUGAAAUCUAGGACGACCAGUCAUGGACGUGUGGGCGCAACUGCCACUGUGUACAGCGCAGCCAUCCUGGAGUACCUCACCGCAGAGGUACUUGAACUGGCAGGAAAUGCAUCAAAAGACUUAAAGGUAAAGCGUAUUACCCCUUGUCACUUGCAACUUGCUAUUCGUGGAGAUGAAGAAUUGGAUUCGCUUAUCAAGGCUACAAUUGCUGGUGGUGGUGUCAUUCCACACAUUCACAAAUCUCUGAUUGGGAAGAAAGGACAACAGAAGACUGUCUAAAGGAUGCCUGGAUUCCUUGUUAUCUCAGGACUCUAAAUACUCUUAACAGCUGUCCAGUGUUGGUGAUUCCAGUGCACUGUAUCUCUGUGAAAAACACAAUUUUGCCUUUUUGUAGUUCUAUUUGAGCAAGUUGGAAGUUUAAUUAGCUUUCCAACCAACCAAAUUUCUGCAUUCGAGUCUUAACCAUAUUUAAGUGUUACUGUGGCUUCAAAGAAGCUAUUGAUUCUGAAGUAGUGGGUUUUGAUUGAGUUGACUGUUUUUAAAAAACUGUUUGGAUUUUAAUUGUGAUGCAGAAGUUAUAGUAACAAACAUUUGGUUUUGUACAGACAUUAUUUCCACUCUGGUGGAUAAGCUCAAUAAAGGUCAUAUCCCAAAAAAAAAAAAAAAAAAAAA